rnacentral:rRNA from 1 species
GACGAACGCUGGCGGCGUGCCUAAUACAUGCAAGUUGAGCGAUGAAGAUUGGUGCUUGCACCGAGUUGAAGAGCAGCGAAGGGGUGAGUAACGCGUGGGGAAUCUGCCUGUGAGCGGGGGACAACAUGGGGAAACGAAUGCUAAUACCGCAGAACAACUUUAAACAUAAGGGUGAAGGUUGAAAGAUGCAGUUGCAUCACUCAAAGAUGAUCCCGCGUUGUAUUAGUGGGGUGGUGAGGUAAAGGCUCACCAAGGCGAUGAUACAUAGCAGAACUGAGAGGGUGAUCGGCCACACUGGGACGGAGACACGCCCCAAACUCCUACGGGAGGCAGCAGUACGGAAUCGUCGGCAAUGGACGAAAGUCUGACCGAGCAACGCGGAGUGAGUGAAGAGGGUUUUCGGAUCGUAAAACACUGUUGGUAGAGAAGAACGUUGGUGCGCGUGGAACGCUCAUCAAGUGACGGUAACUACCCAGAAAGGGACGGCUAACUACGUG